rnacentral:tRNA from 1 species
AGACAACAAAAUGUUUAAUAUUAUUAUUUUGUCACCUUAGGUCGAUCGGUAUCUCACGUUCUUAAUUUAUUAAGAAUUUCAUUUCCUAAGUUUUUCUAGGUCACACCCAUUAUUUUCCUGGGCCAUUAGCUCAGGUGGUUAGAGCGCACCCCUGAUAAGGGUGAGGUCCCUGGUUCAAGUCCAGGAUGGCCCAUAUCUCUAUGUUGGGGGUAUAGCUCAGUUGGUAGAGCGCCUGCUUUGCAAGCAGGAUGUCAGCGGUUCGAGUCCGCUUACCUCCACUGAUCACCACCUCUUCCAUAAUCGAUAGAAAGGAAAUGUUUUGAGUUGUGAUCUAAUUCUGAACGAAUCUAGCUUCCUAAUAAAAUUAUUAAGAUGCUGGACUCAUUGAAUUAAUUUCAUUGUUUUCAGAGAACCUUGACAACUGCAUAGAUUAUUUUUUAAAGACAAUAAGCAUCUUUAAUGAUGCAGAUUUAUUAUUUGUGCGAAUGCAUUAAUAACAAUUCUAUUAAGCUGAUGCUUCAAUUUUGAAGUUAUU